rnacentral:lncRNA from 1 species
CAAAAUAAAUUUUGACUUCGAGCAGCGAUUGCUCUCCCCUCACAAACCUUAAUGAAACCAAACUAGUGACCUUGAAAAGAGCUUGAAGCUAGCUCUUCGAUCCAAAAACCCCCCCAAAAACUUCUCUCCUUUCAUUUCUUAACCUAUCCUCCUCAUUAAUCCUAAUUCUCCCCUCUUUCAAACCCUAACCUCUGAAUUUCUUCAAUCUUCCGUCUUGGAUCCGGAAUUGGCUUCGUCGUCAGAGCUUUCUCCUCCAAUUUUACCUUUAAGAGAUCUUUUUACCAAA